UGAGGGAUAUUGGUCAAUGGGCGCAAGCCUGAACCAGCGACGCCGCGUGGGUGAAGAAGGUCUUCGGAUCGUAAAGCCCUUUUCCCACUGAAGAGGAAGGACGGUAGGUGGGGAAGAAGUCUCGGCUAACUACGUGCCAGCAGCCGCGGUAAAACGUAGGAGACAAGCGUUAUCCGGAGUUACUGGGCGUAAAGGGCGUGCAGGUGGCGUCUUAAGUCUGUUGUGAAAGCGCCUGGCUUAACCGGGCGAGGCCAAUGGAGACUGAGAGGCUGGAGGACGGCGGAGGGGUGUGGAAUUCCGGGUGUAGUGGUGAAAUGCGUAGAUAUCAGGAGGAACACCGGCGGUGUAGACGGCUUGCUAGACCAUAACUGACGCUGAGGCACGAAAGCGUGGGUAGCAAACA
rnacentral:rRNA from 1 species